CGCUGGCGGCGUGCCUCAGACAUGCAAGUCGAACGCGAAAGUCCCCUUCGGGGGGCGAGUAGAGUGGCGCACGGGUGAGUAACACGUAGGUAAUCUACCUUUGGAUGGGGAAUAACAACCGGAAACGGUUGCUAAUACCGCAUAAUGCAGCGGCACCUAAUGGUGACAGUUGUUAAAGCGGGGGAUCGAAAGACCUCGCGUCUAAAGAGGAGCCUGCGGCGGAUUAGCUAGUUGGUAAGGUAACGGCUUACCAAGGCUACGAUCCGUAGCCGGCCUGAGAGGGCGGUCGGCCACACUGACACUGACAUACGGGUCAGACUCCUACGGGAGGCAGCAGUCGGGAAUUUUGGGCAAUGGGCGAAAGCCUGACCCAGCAACGCCGCGUGAAGGAUGAAAUCCCUCGGGAUGUAAACUUCGCAAGAACGGGAAGAAUAAGUAGGGGACAAUACCCCCUAUGAUGACGGUACCGUUUGUAAGCUCCGGCUAACUCCGUGCCAGCGGCCGCGGUAAUACGGGGGGAGCAAGCGUUGUUCGGAUUUACUGGGCGUAAAGGGCGCGUAGGCGGCCAGCACACGUCAGUUGUGAAAUCUCCGAGCUUAACUCGGAAAGGUCGACUGAUACUGUGCGGCUAGAGUGCAGAAGGGGCAACUGGAAUUCUUGGUGUAGCGGUGAAAUGCGUAGAUAUCAAGAGGAACACCUGCGGCGAAGGCGGGUUGCUGGGCUGACACUGACGCUGAGGCGCGAAAGCUAG
rnacentral:rRNA from 1 species